ensembl:snoRNA SNORA71 Small nucleolar RNA SNORA71
CCCUGUAUUCGAAAGUGAUCUUGGGCUGCCUGUGCCCUGGUCAUUGAGUGCAGGGAAAGGAACUGCUGAAAGCCUUUCCCCGUGUUUGGAGGGCUCACUCCUGUCCCCUCCAAACUCUGGAGCUUUCUUACA